CGCAAUAGCUCAGUCGGUAGAGCGUUUCACUCGUAAUGAAAAGGUCGCCGGUUCGAUUCC
rnacentral:tRNA from 1 species